rnacentral:rRNA from 1 species
GACGAACGCUGGCGGCGUGCUUAACACAUGCCAGUCGAACGGAAAGGCCCUGCUUUUGUGGGGUGCUCGAGUGGCGAACGGGUGAGUAACACGUGAGUAACCUGCCCUUGACUUUGGGAUAACUUCAGGAAACUGGGGCUAAUACCGGAUAGGAGCUCCUGCUGCAUGGUGGGGGUUGGAAAGUUUCGGCGGUUGGGGAUGGACUCGCGGCUUAUCAGCUUGUUGGUGGGGUAGUGGCUUACCAAGGCUUUGACGGGUAGCCGGCCUGAGAGGGUGACCGGCCACAUUGGGACUGAGAUACGGCCCAGUCUCCUACGGGAGGCAGCAGUGGGAAAUAUUGCACAAUGGGCGGAAGCCUGAUGCAGCAACGCCGCGUGCGGGAUGACGGCCUUCGGGUUGUAAACCGCUUUCGCCUGUGACGAAGCGUGAGUGACGGUAAUGGGUAAAGAAGCACCGGCUAACUACGUG